AUUGAACGCUGGCGGCAGGCCUAACACAUGCAAGUCGAGCGGAUGAAGGGAGCUUGCUCCUGGAUUCAGCGGCGGACGGGUGAGUAAUGCCUAGGAAUCUGCCUGGUAGUGGGGGAUAACGUCCGGAAACGGGCGCUACUACCGCAUACGUCCUGAGGGAGCAAGUGGGGGAUCUUCGGACCUCACGCUAUCAGAUGAGCCUAGGUCGGAUUUGCUAGUUGGUGGGGUAAAGGCCUACCAAGGCGACGAUCCGUAACUGGACUGAGAGGAUGAUCAGUCACCUUGGAACGGGAACACGGUCCCGGCUCCUAAGGGAGGGAGCAGUGGGGAAUAUUAGGCAAUAGGGGAAAACCUGGUCCAACCAUGGCGCGUGUGAGGAAGAAGUCUUCGGAGUGGAAAGCACUUUAAGUGGGGAGGAAGGGCAGUAAGUUAAUACCUAGCUGUUUUGACGUUACCAACAGAAUAAGCACCGGCUAACUUCGUG
rnacentral:rRNA from 1 species